UACGGAGGUGGCAAGCGUUGUUCGGAAUUACUGGGCGUAAAGGGCGCGUAGGCGGCUAGGCAAGUCAGGUGUGAAAGCCCCGAGCUUAACUCGGGAAUUGCAUCUGAAACUGCUGUGCUUGAGUUCUGGAGGGGGUAGUGGAAUUCCCAGUGUAGCGGUGAAAUGCGUAGAUAUUGGGGAGGAACACCUGCGGCGGAAGGCGGCUACCUGGACAGAAACUGGACGCUGAGGCGGGCGAAAAGCUAGG
rnacentral:rRNA from 1 species